rnacentral:lncRNA from 1 species
CUUCCUCUUUAUGUCACCCCCCCUGCCAAUGACAGAUAUGCACAUAUUUGGAUCGGUGAACGUCCAACGUUUAUUCAGUGACCAACUUAUUAAUCACGUUUUAACAAUGGAUAGGUUUACAACCGAUAUACGGGUUUAUAACGGAAGCGUGCGCUUACGGGGGAAAAAUUACACGUGUCAAACGUAUACGGAUAAUACCCGUAAUAAAAAUUUAUCGCUUACACGAAUAUACUAUAUUUAAACACUUACAUCAAUUAAUGUCAACCGAGUAACUCGAGAUAGUCUUAAAUUUUUGAGAUUUUUCCCCUCAAGAUUGCACGCAAUUCUUUUUUUUAAAGAUC